CCCUGUCCCCAACCCCUCUGUCCCCAAACCCCCAUGGCCCCAAACCCCCAUGGCCCCAAACCCCCAUGGCCCCAAACCCCGCGUCCCCAACCCUUUGCUCACACCCAACCUCCCAACACGAGCAGAGCAGGAGCCCAACCCAAACCCCAAACCCCAAAAUUACGAGCGUGGCUUUUGGGAUGAAAACCCAACCCCGCUCCCCUCGGCCAGCCCUGUGGGGCCUUAUAGGACACCCCUACCCCUCGCUGAGUCCAUCCCUGCCCCGUGACCCCAAACCCCGUGUCCCCAAACCCUUUUUACCCUCCAGACGUGCAGCCCCCCGAGGGGAAGAGCCGCGAGUGCCUGCUGAGCCUGGUGCUGCGGGACGCCUCCAAGACCUCGCUGUGCGCCGAGAGCGAGGACGACGCCGUGGCGUGGAAGCUGGCCCUGCUGGAGGCGAAAUCCACCCCGGUGAGGCUCCCGCCACCCCAAAAUAUCCCCCAAAAGGGGGUUGGGUAUCGGGGAGGGGGCUCCGGUGGCCCCAAACGCAGCCCCGUAAAUGUGGGGGUGAGCCCGGGGGUCUGGGCUGAUCGGUGCCUCCCCCAUGGGGUGAAGGGAGUGGGGCAGAGUUAGGGGGAUGGGGGAAAGUUAAGGGGAUGGGGGCAGAGUUAAUGGGGAAUGGGGAAAGAUUUAAGGGGAAUGGGGGAGAGUUUAGGGGAAUGGGGCAGAGUUUAGGGGAUGGAAGAAGAGUUAAGGAGAAUGGGGGCCAAAUUAAGGGGAAUGGGGCAGAUUUAAGGGGAAUGGGGGAAGAAUUAAGGGGAUGGGGACAGAGUUAAGGGGAUGGAGACACAUGUAAGGGGACUGUGGGCGGAGUUAAGGUAAUAGGAUCACAUUUAAGGGGUUCAGGGAUAGAGUUAAGGGGAAUAGGGGCAGAGUUUAGGAGAAUGGGGCGUCACCUUACGUGAUGGGGGCAGAGUUAAUGGGAUGGAAGAAGAAUUAAGGAGAAUGGGGGCCGAAUUAAGGGGAAUGGGGCAGAGUUAAGGUGAUGGGGUCACAUUUAAGGGGUUUAUGGACAGAGUUAGGGGGAAUGGGGCAGAGUUAAUGGGAUGGGGAGACAUUUAAGGGGAGCAGGGGUAGAGUGAAGGGGAAUUGGGGCAGAGUUAAGGGGAUGGGGUCACAUUUAAGGGGAAGAUGGGCAGGGUUAUGGGGAUGGGGUCCCAGUUAGGGGGAUGAGGGACAGAGUUAAGGUGAUGGGGACACAGUUAAGGGGUUCAGGGGCAGAGUUAA
rnacentral:lncRNA from 1 species